ACUCUGAAGACAGCAACAAGGCAAGGAUGUGCGUAGGGCUAAAUCUGCGUCAUCCUUAACAGGUGGUCGUGACCAAAAUCAAAAUGCCUGGACAGGAGAGGAAGAGGCUCUGCAAACAGGUUUCCCAAGUCCCUCAUGAGCUGUUGCACAUAAACUGGAAUUAAAAACGAUGACAAAAAUCUAGACCAUUUUCCUUUCUCCAGUUGACCAGGCUUCUCCAGACUAGAGUGACAACGGCAAUAAUUUAUGAUGAUGCUCCAAGUAAACUAAUAAUGCAGACCACACUAAUAAAACAUUGUACAUCGAGAACCAUGCUAAUGACCACACAGUGGUCACAAAAUGAACAUUUUCCCUGAACUCUUCAUCCAAAAACAUCCCACAGCACUUGCCAGUUUUCAGAUAUGAAGAAGCCUUUGCCCUCUUCACCACCAACGUGCUGGCUGCUCCCAGAGAGCACAAACAGCUGAGAUAGGAAGUGUGCACCUCAAACUGGAAAAUAACAAAUAUGUGAACCAGCUUUUGAAAUUCCCCUCCACCCUGGACUGGAGCCAGGACACCACGUCUUCACGCUUCCAGCCGUGCAUGAAGGAUGUUUGGGGACUUUUCUGAUCCAAGACCCACAGGACUGUUUCAUGUUGACUUCCAGGGGACAGAGCACUGAGUGAAAGCAUCACUUGCCAUGGUCUGACUUUUAUAUCUUCUUUUUAAAAUUUAUUUAAAUGUGUCAUAGCAGCUAACCACAUCUGCAACUCUAUUGCAUCCCAUUUAAGAAAUAGGAUAAAAGACUCAAGUCCAUCAUUUUGUAUUUUUUUUUCUAAGUAAGGAUUUAAAUUAUCAACUUGAAACAGAAAGAAUCUACAAGUCUGCAACUGAGUAUUAUUCAAAGACAGGUAAAAGCAGGGAAUACCACCAAACCUGACAACUCACCGUACAUGAGCUUAUCAAUACAAAGACACCUGGUCGAUUCUAAAGGGCUCUGCAAACAUAAGAAAUGAUUUUCAAGGCUAUCAUAAAAGGUCUCACAAGGACUUUGACCUACGCAUAUUGUAUAGCACCGAGUGGAGUUUUGGCAGCACACACAAUAUUUUUGUGAUUAUUACUCACUGUUAUUAAUACAAAUAAUUGACGUAACAGCUGUUCGUGGGCCAAACACUCAUGUUUGAUAUGGAGCUACCAGAAAGGACUUCCAAAUUUUCUCAGCCUGCUUCCUCUUCCCCUCCCCCUGGGACCCCAAAGCCACACAGGAUGACUCAAGGAGAUCACGUGUCUGUGGCAUUUUGUGUGUCUGUGCGAACCAGCAUGCGUAGACAUCAUGCUCUCCUUUGAGGGAUUUGCACUAAAAAGAUGGUAAGGAAGGGGCAAAGCUGAAUGUCAGAGGUGACUUCCAAUCAGGAUAUCCCACCUGGAAGCCAGCCAGCUUCCGCUCCUUUGAAUUCGGCAAGAAAAAGACUUGACCUUUCUUACAAAUCAACCUACAAGCCCUUAGGCACGGCCACCGGCCACCGUGGGGUCUGUCUUGACUCUGACUCGAAAUCAUUUGGUAACAAGUGAAUUCCUGAAACUGACCUCCGUUUGGCAACAAGGUCUGAACAUUCAAAGCUGCUUAGUCAUUCCCCUUUAAAAAUUCACUUAAAAAAUAAAUUAAUUAAAAAUAAAAAUUCACCUUGAAGUA